GACACGGAGACACGGAGACAGAGAGAAGACAGAGAGACCGAGGGAUAGAGAGAGGGAGGAGAGAGAGGCACGCUUCAAAGAGGAGGCACUACUGCAGUGUCUGCAGUACUCUGCAAAAUCUGGAAUUUCUGCAAUCAAGCUGACUGCAGUGAUACAGUUCUACAAGGAACAUGGUGUGGCUCAAAGGAAGAAGAGGUGUGGUGGUUAUCUCGCCAGCAAACGGGUGCUGUCCUACGAGGACAUUCAGCGAAUCAUCCACUAUGUCAAUAACUUCACACAUGUCUGCACGAUGCCGCUCCCAGGACGGAUCCCUGGAUUUAAAAGGGCAGGCAUCCGGGUGCUACCGACAUUUGAGACCAAGUCCUCUGUGUGGCGGAAGUAAAACUUUGAUGAGUGAUCAUGGGUUUCCUGAGUCACACGGGUGGGGAUGACCUCCAAAGCCUGGAGGUGCCCUCCCCAGGGUCCUGCUCAUGGCUGUAAGGAGAAGAGGGCUGGGAGGUCAGGAGCUCAUGGCUGGAGGUAGAGGGCUGGAAGAUCUCCUCGUUGCUGGAGGUAGAGGGUUGAAGGAUCUCCUCAGGGCUGGAGAUGGAAGGGCCCUCACUUGGGCUGUCACCACUCUUCACCUCUAUACACAGAGUGAAGGUCAUCUAAGGCAUGUUUCAGUCGCUCCAGAGAGCUCUGAUCUUUUUUUUUACAGAAAAAAGGGAAAUGUUAGGGUCAUUAUGUAGAUAAAACUCACCAAAAUUGGGGGAAAUAACCAACAUGUUAUUUAAUGUACAUAUUGCCACUUGUGUUUUUAAGAAGGUUUUAUUGUUUAUGUACUAUAUACAGUGACUUCAGAAAGU